UACGAAGGGUGCAAGCGUUACUCGGAAUUACUGGGCGUAAAGCGUCCGCAGGUGGCUGUUCAAGUCUGCUGUCAAAGCGCAGAGCUUAACUCUGUAAAGGCGGUGGAAACUGUAGGUCUUGAGUAUGGUAGGGGUAGAGGGAAUUCCCGGUGUAGCGGUGAAAUGCGUAGAUAUCGGGAAGAACACCAGUGGCGAAGGCGGCGACCUGGUCUGAUACUGACGCUGAGGCGCGACAGCGUGGGGAGCAAACAGG
rnacentral:rRNA from 1 species